ensembl:snRNA U1 U1 spliceosomal RNA
UUACUUACCUGGCAGGUGAGAUGCUGUGAUCAAGAAGGCGGUUCACCCAGGGCGGGGCUCAGCCAUUGCACUCCGGCUGUGCCGACCCCUGCGAAUUCCCCAAAUGUGGGAAUCUCGACUGCAUAAUUGCUGGUUCAAAUUC